CCUACGGGUGGCAGCAGUGGGGAAUAUUGCACAAUGGGCGAAACCCUGAUGCAGCGACGCCGCGUGAGUGAUGACGUAUUUCGGUAUGUAAAGCUCUAUCAGCAGGGAAGAAAAUGACGGUACCUGAUUAAUAAGCCCCGGGUAACUACGUGCCAGCAUCCGCUGUCAUCCGUAGGGGGCAAGCGUUAUCCGGAUUUACUGGGUGUAAAGGGAGCGUAGACGGGAGCACAAGUCUGGAGUGAAAUGCCGGGGCUUAACCCCGGAACUGCUGUGGAAACUGUGCAGCUAGAGUGCAGGAGAGGUAAGUGGAAUGCAUAGUGUAGCGGUGAAAUGCGUAGAUAUUAGGAGGAACACCAGUGGCGAAGGCGGCUUACUGGACUGUAACUGACGUUGAGGCUCGAAAGCGUGGGGAGCAAACAGGAUUAGAUACCCCAGUAGUC
rnacentral:rRNA from 1 species